AUUCACUUGCCACGUCUUAUACAAAUGUUUGGUUUAAAGAGAUGAUAAUGCAUCACUAAAAAAGAAAUAAAACAUACAUACUCAUAUCCUCUUUCCGCAGUUUAAAUGUUGUGGGAAAAAUUUCAUUUUGAAAUGAGUUUUUAACAUGCUACCAUUGGGUCUUGAGGGUAUUUAUGAGUCUGAUGGAAUUGUCAGGCACACUGGAAAGCAAAAUCUUUGGUUAUAUUAGUUCACAAAGUUCCUAGAAACAAGGACUUCCUGAACAGAACACCUUUGCAAGAGUCAGUAUUCGAAUUUAAAUUAUCUACCUGAAAACUUUAUAUGGAAAUACAAUCAUUUCAACAUCAGGGUUCAUGAUAGUGAUGCAGUUAAGUAUGCAUAACUGGGUAGCAACAUCUGAUGGAAUAAAACUAGCUAACAUUAAUUUUCCUAAUGAAAUUAAAUCAUAUAACUGGAGUUUAGAGAAGAGUAAAUCUUUCUGUUGGAAUAAAACUCUUGCCACUGAGGUCUUCUCAGCAGGAAGAAGCAGCAAACACCUGCUGUUGUCCACCUGCUCGAAUUGCCCGGAACCAGCAACAUGACGGGCCAGAAAUAGAGCUCCAUGAGAGGCCACUCGAAUAAUUCAAACUAGCCACUCCUAAACUUGUUUACACUGCCUUGCCAUUUCCUUCCCAUGGAAACCACAAUGAAGGUUCUUGCCCACAGUUCUCCCUCUCUCUUUACCUCAUGACAGACCCCAAGGAUUCCUUGUGAGGCCCCCCCCCCAACCCUGUGAUGUAACAUGUGUACUCUCUUCAGAACUGUGAAGGGAAUAGACUCUUUUCAAAGACAGUGUCUUCUGCUGUGUUGACUCUACCAUACCCAAAUAACAAAGCCUAUUAAAACAUUAAUGGACAAGACUCUUGGAUAAAAUCCUAUUCCUUUUCUGAGGAAAGAGGGUUACUGAAGAAAGAAAACUAAAGAAGAUCUUAAAUACAACAGAUAAUUGUACUACUGCAGUAAAAUUGCAGUAAAGUGUGGCCAUAUAACAGAAGCAUCAAACAGAAGUUAUAUGUGAAACUUACUAGUUCUGCUGUUAAAGACAACCUUACUAUUCGUUUUCCUUUUCUUUUGGGUUGAAACUUGACCAUCAUGAUGGUAAGUCACACUCAUGAAUAUAAGAACAGCGUUUCAUAUAGAAGGAACCAUGUAGAUCCCUGGAAGACUAUCCAUAUAAUAGCACCUUCUGCUCUCUCCAAACACCCAUCCACCAUAUGCCAGCUCAGAGCUUAAUAUAAGAAAGAAAAAUGCCACCCAUCUCGUUU